rnacentral:rRNA from 1 species
ACGCUGGCGGCGUGCUUAAUAACAUGCAAGUUGAGCGCUGAAGGUUGGUACUUGUACCGACUGGAUGAGCAGCGAACGGGUGAGUAACGCGUGGGGAAUCUGCCUUUGAGCGGGGGACAACAUUUGGAAACGAAUGCUAAUACCGCAUAAAAACUUUAAACACAAGUUUUAAGUUUGAAAGAUGCAAUUGCAUCACUCAAAGAUGAUCCCGCGUUGUAUUAGCUAGUUGGUGAGGUAAAGGCUCACCAAGGCGAUGAUACAUAGCCGACCUGAGAGGGUGAUCGGCCACAUUGGGACUGAGACACGGCCCAAACUCCUACGGGAGGCAGCAGUAGGGAAUNUUCGGCAAUGGACGAAAGUCUGACCGAGCAACGCCGCGUGAGUGAAGAAGGUUUUCGGAUCGUAAAACUCUGUUGGUAGAGAAGAACGUUGGUGAGAGUGGAAAGCUCAUCAAGUGACGGUAACUACCCAGAAAGGGACGGCUAACUAC